GUACGUAUUGUAUACAUGGUUUCAAUACAUUUAAGUAUUGACGUUAUUAACCGUGUGCCUUGAGAAUGAAAUGUAAUGCAGGUACAUUAUUGAUGUCUUAUCAAGGAUUAGACACCCAGAUGGAACGAUUAAAUCUAGAAAGAUAACGGAUGGAAAGUAUACGUGGAUAGAACGUUGUACGAAUCACAGAUUAUCAUCAAGAGGAGUAGCGAUCAAGUCAAGAGCAAGGAUUGUACGGAAAGUGCGGUCACAUAGUUAGGUUAUGUAUUGCCUUGAAGUCUUAAAAUUGAGUACGAAUGUUGCGAUUACUUUUUAUGAAACGUUUGACAAUUUGUAACUUGAA